rnacentral:rRNA from 1 species
UACGUAGGGGGCAAGCGUUGUCCGGAAUCAUUGGGCGUAAAGAGCGUGUAGGCGGUCCGGUAAGUCGGCUGUGAAAGUCCAGGGCUCAACCCUGGGAUGCCGGUCGAUAGUGCCGGACUAGAGUUCGGAAGAGGCGAGUGGAAUUCCCGGUGUAGCGGUGAAAUGCGCAGAUAUCGGGAGGAACACCUAUGGCGAAGGCAGCUCGCUGGGACGUUACUGACGCUGAGACGCGAAAGCGUGGGGAGCAAACAGG